AUUGAACGCUGGCGGCAGGCCUAACACAUGCAAGUCGAGCGGCAGCACGGGGGCAACCCUGGUGGCGAGCGGCGGACGGGUGAGUAAUGCUUAGGAAUCUGCCUAUUAGUGGGGGACAACAUUUCGAAAGGAAUGCUAAUACCGCAUACGUCCUACGGGAGAAAGCAGGGGAUCUUCGGACCUUGCGCUAAUAGAUGAGCCUAAGUCGGAUUAGCUAGUUGGUGGGGUAAAGGCCUACCAAGGCGACGAUCUGUAGCGGGUCUGAGAGGAUGAUCCGCCCCACUGGGAAUGAGACACGGCCCAGACUACUACGGGAGGCAGCAGUGGGGAAUAUUGGACAAUGGGCGGAAGCCUGAUCUAGCCAUGACGCGUGUGUGAAGAAGGCCUUAUGGUUGUAAAGCUCUUUAAGAGUGGAGGAGGCUACUUUAGUUAAUACCUAGAGAUAGUGGACGUUACUCGCAGAAUAAGCACCGGCUAACUCUGUGCCAGCCGCCGCCGUAAAAC
rnacentral:rRNA from 1 species